GAUCAUGGCUCAGGAUGAACGCUAGCGGCAGGCUUAACACAUGCAAGUCGAGGGGCAGCGCGGGGUAGCAAUACUCUGGCGGCGACCGGCGAAAGGGUGAGUAACGCGUGAGCAACAUGCCCGGUACUGGAGGAUAGUCGAUGGAAACGUCGCGUAAUACUCCGUAACAACAGGGACCGCAUGAUCCUUGUUUAAGAGAUUUAUCGAUAUCGGAUUGGCUCGCGUUCCAUUAGCUAGUUGGCGGGGUAACGGCCCACCAAGGCGACGAUGGAUAGGGGUUCUGAGAGGAAGGUCCCCCACAUUGGAACUGAGACACGGUCCAGACUCCUACGGGAGGCAGCAGUGAGGAAUAUUGGUCAAUGGCCGAGAGGCUGAACCAGCCAUGCCGCGUGCCGGGAGGACGGCCCUAUGGGUUGUAAACCGCUUUUUUGUGGGAGCAAUAAGUCUUACGUGUAGGACGAUGAGAGUACCAUGAGAAUAAGCAUCGGCUAACUCCGUGCCAGCCGCUGC
rnacentral:rRNA from 1 species